GGCAGAGCGUUGGGAUGUUUUCACAGCACAUUAUGUUUGAGUACACAUCAAACAUGCCACGCGCCACUCUUUGAUUGUCUCUGGUGAAGCUGUUUCCUGACAGGUGUUCGACGAGCUCCCUGGGUAGAAAGACAAACGUGCUGUAAAUAUACACACAUAGUGACAGAACACGCACUUGGCAAACACAGAGAUGACAGAGGCCUCCCUGAUGAUGUUUACGUUGAGGUGAAGUUUGUGAAGGCUACACAAUUGAUAUGCCAGUUAUACCAUAAUCUGAUAAUUGUAGAAAUAUAAAGCGUCACGUUUUAAGCGGGCACACUUGUUAGCGUUUGCAUUUCCCUGAGGUGGAGCUUAAAACCCUGCAGCUUUCAGGAAAAACACUGGCUGUAUAUUGGAUAAGUAACGCUUCAUUCUUUUAGCCAGCUGUACUGCUUUACUACAUCAACAAUAGGAGCCAGAACCUGUUUAACAUUGAUUCAAAGAGGGCACGUUUACACUAAACAGACACCACACAGAACAAACAGAGCAGACCACAUGUACUGAGUAUUUUCACAGUGUCUGUUAUUACUCCAUUUAAUAAAUCUCUUCUCUCUGCGCCUGUUUCCAUUCCCUCAUCAUCCCAGACCACAGUGAAGUAGAUAUUAGUCAAUCCUCUAAUUAACAGUAAAACCACAGUCUAGUGGUCACAUGUGUAAUUUCUCCAUAGGACACGUUCUCCACCCCCUGUGCUCUGUGUGUGCAGGCUAUGGGCUUUAAUCGCAUUGCCCCUUACGCUAGAAUAACUGUGAGUACUUUCUUGGCAAAGGCGUCCACAGCUGAGGGGUUACUGCAUGGUCGAUCCUCCGGCGAGGUUCUUUCCAUUCUGAUUCAAUCAAUCUUUAUUCCAUCCUCUGCCAAAAUCAAUUGCACUCCGCUUGGGACGCCUGGUUAAAAUGUGGGGAGGCACAGAGUCAGGCUGGGGACUCCAUGCUACAGCUUUAUCCCCACACUCAGAGGGUUCCCUCCCUCUGAAGACGGAGUAAUGUAGAGGACCGGUUUUAACUUCUGUUGAGAAACCCACACCUGGUGUUUUUUGUGAUAUCACAGCUGGGCUUUACCUAAUUCAGAGAUGGGUUUGCUUUCAUUUAGUACAUCAACAACGUGCUCAUCAUAUACAAUCAAAAUUAGUCUAGAGAAAUAUCGGCCUGAGAGUUUGAAAAAUUGGAAGUGUGCUUAUUCUGAUCUACUCUUCAUGCACAGUGAACAAAACCUGCAAGAGGCUCAAAUACAGUAAAAUUGAGAAUGUAACAUGUUAAUAUGUCACUAAGUGUUGUCAUGCCAUCCUAGACCUGUGAUUAAAUGAACUGAUAUUGCUUCUAGACCAAAGUUUACAUUAGAUUAUUAUAAAUUACGGAUUCUCCUGCAGCUUUUUCAUCAGAUGUGUAGAGGCAUGUCAGAUUUCUUGUGUCAGGAAAAGGAAAAAAAAGAAGUUUACAGUCUCACUUCUCCAUAAGAGUGUGACAGCUCAAGAAAUAAGAUGCAUCGCGGAAUUAACAACCAAAGACCAGCGGACAUUAAUUGCUAUCAACAGAGAAGGAUUCAGAAGGUUAGUAAACACACUGGAGCCAAAGUUUCAAUUCUUACUGUGGCCAUAUUCACAGCUCUUUUCAAAGACACAAAAACUAAAGUUUCACGAAAAACCUCAAACAGGCAGCGUGGACUUUAUUUGCUAUAGAAAAAAGGACUUCACAAGCUCCCCAGAGUCAAGGUAAUGCCAUUAUAAUUAAGUCUUUAUUUAUCUAUGACCUUUCUAAUGUUGUGAGAACUGCCCUGCCAUGGAUUUACCCAGACAUUUCCAGAUUGUGAGAUGUUGAUGUUUUUAAUAUUAUUUUUUAAACUAUUCCUGACAUAAAUCUUAAAGCUGUUGAUUUUAACAGUACACAGUAUUUUGCUGUAAUUAGUGAAUCCCGUUUUUUUUUACCUCUCCUGCUGUGGGGCUGUUUUUUCUUAUGUGUGUUUGUUUUUAUUCACCCUGUUAUCAAUGUGCAUGUCUUGUUAACUGUCUGAAAAUACUGUAAUAAAAAUUUGAUUAAAAAAAUUAAAAAGCUGUUAUUGGCUUUGGUUGCUCAUAAAAAGUGCAUCACUUUGAAUUUCAGUCUAUUUUAUUGCUAGCUAGAAAUCUCCUCACAGGAGCUUUAAAGUGAAGUGAACUCAGCCAUAACAGCAUAAAGGCACUUUAGAAGAAAGAAGCAGAUGCAUGUUUUUUUUUUUCUGUUGUCUUUUUCUAUUUCCUCGCUUCAGUUCUUUCUUCCUACCCUUCACCGUGCAGUGUCCUUUUGGUAACGUUGUAGUCUACGCCCCUUCCUGCCUGCUGUGGACACACAGGCCUCUUCAUCCCGGUCCACUGCUGCGGUCAGGCACCUGGCAGCUGGAUAAAUAUGAGGCUGACUUAAUGAGUUCUGUAAGUGAGCUGGAAGUGGCUGGUAUUCAUGCUCCAAUACUCAGGGUUAUGAGAUAACCAUGCAGCCGCAGGGCCUCCACCACAGGCUGCCACUCUGAGCCUGAAACCACGCUGAAACUACAGGCAAAGGCCUGGGUAAAGACUAACCGGCUGCUCAGACAACCAGGAAUGAUUGGUUUGCCUUGUUGAUUCACCUUAUGGAUUCAACCUUCAUCCAUAUUAUUCCAUUACACACUGCGGUUUGUGUGUAAUUGAAAUAAAUCUAUUUAAACUGGAGGGAAACAAUAAAAAAAGAUUCUAAAUUUCUAAAUCUGUUAUUCAUAAUCAGCAGAUCCUGAUUUGUAGAAAUAAAAUCUGAAUAUACUUAAAGCCACCCACAUGUCUUAUCUGUAAUAAGGGUUGCCGUAAAGCAGCCAAAAACAACGUGUGCCUGUGUGGGGACAUGACAACCCCAAACCCAAAAUAUUAUCCACAACUGUUUACUUGUGAAAUUAAAUUUCCUUGCUUUUUUGUGUGUUUACAGCAUGUCUGUCCAUCUUUGACAGCUGAUGAAGUGAUGGGAGGAGGGAGAAGUCUCUUUGAGGCAAAGUAAUGACUGCCCCUGAUUUAGCUGCUUUGCAGCAACCAUCCCAUAUGGGAGAGGAGGGCAGAAAGAAGAGGCAAUUGGCCAACGUCCAACACAAACACAGCCUUGAAUCCUUAGCACGGCGCUUUCUGCCAAAACACUGGUUCUGUGUGAAGGCAGAAAAAAGUGGGAUAGGAAGGGAAGAGGAGAGGAGACUUGAUUAGGAAACCUUAAUGGGACUACCCUGUCACAUCGCAUGGGUGUCUGGGCCAGAGUCCAAAGCAUUACUGACACUGCACUAAAGGAACAGAGAGAAGGUGAGGAUCAUACAGCUGCCGCACUAAGAGACUUCCCAAAACUCAAUUUCUCACUUGCCCUCCCUGAAUAAUACAAUUAGAUUGAGGCAAUUAGUCUUUAAAAUAAACUGCAGGUGAGACGGCACUUAACUGUACAAUACACCUUUUACUAUGAUGGUGUGUGGUGCCAAUAGGGGGGGCUGAAUGAAAUCAAACAUGUUUUUGUAUCAGCCAGUUAUCAGAUACUCCGGUUGGAGGCUUUCUUUAAGUAUUUCUGCUCCUUACACUUCAAAAAAAGACUGUGUGGGCUGAAAAACAAAGAGGUAUGGUACAAUAUGAAAAGAGGAAUUUUAACCACUUGAAAUAUAAUCACAGUGCCACACGCUCAAACAAUUACACAACUAUUUGAUGUGAGGGCAUGUAGAUGGCUAAUUUGCCCUCUCUGAUUUUCCCUUUCCUGAGUCUGGCUCUAAAUGCUGAAUUCUGAGCUCCAGCGAUCAGAUGAAAUGCAUGAGGUGCCCAGGCGGCCCGGUGCAGGUUCACUGACAGCUGGGAAUGAUGAAGGCUGAGGUGUGGCCUCACAGAGCCGAGCCCUGACACACAAGCUUCAAAAACCAAACAGCUCAAAAGAGACACUGUGUUUUUCUGUUCUGGACAGGACAGGCAUGAAACGUAACACAUUUUCACAAUUCAUGAAAGAGGUAUUGUUCAAAGGUGGACUGUUUGGAGGAACACCGCUUUUAGCUUGCAAUGGCAGCUCACCCUGAAAGCAAGCUGUGAGACACAAGACAAACAAAGUGAAAUGAAAAAGGGGGAGGAGAGCGUAAAUCAGACUAUGGUAAUUGCUCAUUCGUAACCCAAAGCCUGGCUCCCCUGGUGAGCGCACUGGCGAGAGUGAUGGGGUGUGCUAGCCGGGGCCCCCUGUGAUUGGGUGCUCUGUGCCGGUACACCCUCACUCAGCUCCCAUGUAAGGUUUGCUUGAUUUGAAGAGUGACCUUGAGUGAGACAGCGCUCCUUUUUCGUCCCCGUUCUCCUCCCUAAAAACAUCUUUUCCCCUCCUCUGUCUAGGGAAUGGAAGCUUUGCCAAGCCACCAUCAGCAUAAGGGCUUCAGAGGAAUUACAAGCUGCCCAGAGCAGGGCUGUCUCAAUGAAUGAGGCCAGUGUCCUCACUCUUUCAGUGUCCUAAUGCCUCACAAUCCUCUGUGAUCCCACCCCAGCUCUGUGAUUCACAUCGAGCAGCAGGUAAACAUGGAAAAAACAUCAUUACAAUGUCUCUCAAGGAUGCUUUUUUUAAAGUAUCAUAUGAAAGUAUUAUUUUUAGUAAUAUAUGAACAGAGUUUAUUUAUUUCUUUGAAUUUUAUGUUAGUCCCAAUUAGAGCUGAUUUUCACCUCUUGAUAAUCCUGACCAUUAAAUAUCCAAGUUAUAUUGCUAUAUUUACAGAAAGGUCAGGACAAGAGCGGAGCAACAUAACAUAUGUUCAGAAAUAUUUCAACUCCAUAAAGUUUACAAACAAGUAGAAUUAACUUACAUUUCUAACUAUGUUCAAAUUUAUGAUUUAACCACAUCACUAUCUGUGAAAGGGAAAUUUCUCUAGAGAAAACAUUGCCAUAUAAAAUGACUGUUUGUCAUGCUCUUAUUUUGAUAGUUUUUCUGUCUGACACUGAUGCUGCUCUCUUUCCUACUUUGUAUAAAUAAUGUUGUGCAAGUUGACACUUUAAUGGGCUCUCGAGGAGUUCAGGUCACACAGAUCGAAAUUAACUUUUUCACACUAGUUCAGAGUUUAUUUUUUUUUAAUUUUGAAUGAAGUUUACAGUCCAAAAAAUGACCAAGUUUAUGUUCAUUUUGUUUCAGGUGCACAUCAAUUAUCUGUCAGCACAGCCUCCUUAUCUGCAAACCCUAAUCCUGAGUCAAUGAUUUUUCCUAAACUAAAAGGAUUAUCAAACUCCACUGUCAAAUCACAGACAGAUAUUUAGUUGACAAAAAGAAAAAAGAAAAAUCAAUUUCAGAGCGAUUUAUGGAUAACAAAGAAAAAAAUUGUUCUUUUUUUUUUUUUUUUUUGAACUUAGAAACGACUAUCUUUUUUUUUUUUGUUAGAAUAUUCAGCCAAAGGUUUGUACUUUUAAUCCAAACACUGGAAAAAUCUGAUUUGUUUUUGAUGAUGUGGGAGAGAUGGUUUUCAUGUCCUCUAAAAUAAGAGGCUAUGGGUAGAAAAAAAAAAAAACACUGAACAAACAAACAGAAAAAGCGAAUCUUUCUUCACCUUUCUGAAACCAAACCGUUUUUUAGCCUGUUAGGAUCUGUCCUAAUUUGUUCAUAAAACCACUUUAUUUGUUUUAGAGGAGCGAUUCAUCUGCACCACUUAUGAUGAAGCGAGAAGCAGCAGGCGCCUAACAUCUGACUUCAGUACUCAGUAACUCUGAGUUUCUCUGAAUAUGUCUCAGAUCCUUCCAGAAAGUGACGGGCUGAACUACACUCAUGGUCUGCUCAAUUCACCAAAAUAUGAGCUCAUUCAAUCAACACGUUGACUUUGGCAAGUUCACCAACAACACUGUGCUCUGCACUCCUGCAAAAUUUCCUGACAUUUUCAGUUUGUCAACGCAAAAUGACACCAUGUUUACAAAAACUUUGUGCAGAUUUUUUUUCCUGCCAGCAGCCCCUGAGUAAAAAGUCAGCUCUAAGUUUGGUGAACUGAUGUAAGAACAGAGCAGGUAACUUUGAAUCAUUCACUGGAGGGGCCCACACUAAACAAAACAGGAACACUCGGUUUAUAAUAGAAGACAGUGAAGCUGAUGCACAUUUCAUUUUCUAUUCUUAUUUAUUCAUUUUUAUAAAAGAAGUCCUACAACCUGAGCCCUUGUCCUUCAUGUGGUAGGUGUCAGGAAAUCUCAUUUUUUAGUCCUUUGCCACUUCUGACCAAGCUGGCUUAUUUCACAUAAACAGGAUAAAACGAACAGCCUGUUUUAAGAGUUCAUUCGUGUUUCUGGUCAGAGAUUUUCAUCCUUCCCUCCUCAAAACCACCAGCAAAAAAAAAAAAAAAAAAAAAAAAACAGCCUAGAAGCACACAGCUCUCUGAACUCUGUAACUCUGCAAUGUGAGGCAAAAUGGGGAAAUGGUCCACCCUCCUGUCUGAGAUAGAAAUGCGAUCAUGACAAACACAAAAUUUUGUUUGUCUUCUAAACAUAUUACUUUUGAUCCCUUAUACCCGAGUUACAUAAACCCUUACUCCAAUCCAUCCUUCCUCCAGUUAGGGAGAAAUUAGACCAAAUGAGGUGUCGAGAAGUGUGAAAGAGACACACAGCCAAUGAGUUCAGUCAUGAAGAAAACAGAUAAGUAAUUUAUGGAACAACCAUAGACAGAGGGGAAAAAUAUGGUGUGAUGAUGACAAAAUAAUCACAGGAUGACAAAAUAGUACUGGGAAAGAGCAAUCACCCUAUACAGACCUUAAAGCCUCCUACAUUUAAAACAUCAUUUCUUUUAACGUGUUCAAACUGCUUUAAGUAGAAGGAGCAAUUUCCACUGCUUUGGAGCCCUGUCUGGGUUUACACGAGGAUUAAGGUUUGGCUGUCGAGUCUGAAUCCAAUGUGAAGCUUUCUAUAACAAACUGAAGUAAUUAACAGCUCACUUCUUCAGCUAACCCCUUUCAUUUAGUGUCCUACAGAGCUGCCUCCUCCCAGGAGUGAAGACCUUAACAAAUGGCUUUAAUAGGCAGGCCUUCAUAAUGUAAACCCCGUAGUCUUGUGGGACAGCUCAAGGCUUCGACCACAGAGCAAAUAUGAGUAAUUUGUAUACACGUCUGCAGGGAGCCAUAACAACCGCACUGGGAGGAAUUACUUUAUGUAAUUACUUGAGAAAAUAUCUUGGUGAGACACAUGUGAGGCUACGACAUGCCAUGAAAAAGGAAAAAUCGAGACGGGGAAAGAGGAAAAGAGAGAGAGAUAAUCGUGAUCUAUUCCUACGGUGGUUAGGGCGCUCGCUCGAGAGGCUAUGAGGCAAUCACAAAGGCUCCUCAAAUGCACCCAGCAAAUUUACUCACAUGGAAAAUUAAGCAGGGACGGUUUUCUGUGCCCCUAAAGACUUUAAGAUCUAUGGCUGCUUUUGUAAUUAUCAUGGGUCACGUCCUAAAUGGAGAUAUGUUCAUAUACCAGUGAUUUCAGCGUAAAUCUCUCUCCGUCUGUGAUGAUUCUUUCACCAGCACACUUGCAUAUGUCUGGCUUUUACUUUGCAUAGUUGGUUAACAGUGUGUGUGCACGUGCAUGCAUGUGUGUGCGUGUGUAAGCAUCUGUGUGUACAUGCACUGGGUGAUAUAUGAGUUGCAGUAGGAUUGAGAGAGCCCUGUCGACAGCUGCUGGCUGCCAUUCACACCUGAGAGGACCCAUGUCCUGAUGAGAAUUAAUGUACUCUGACAUCCUCUGGGACUCUGGCAGCCCCCAGAGGGCCUAAUGAAGAAAUACAACCUUGCCAAGAGAAAAGGGGGCAUAUCAAAAGGCUCCCUCAGGCCCCAGGAGAGGGCAUUCAGAGAGGGCAUACAGAGGGGGCAUGGAUAAGCAAAGGACGCUCUGAUCAACAAGGAAAAAAGAGGUAAUAAAAAGCCGAGAUUAUUCUUAUAGACAUUUUUUUCACUGUUUUCCUUCUUCUGAGGCUCAGAUGUUGAAUCUUUCUCCCCGUGUUAAUUAAACAUGCAGACAGUGUCAUCGCCAUAUGCUAGAAACUCCUCACCUGCUCAUUAAAAACCUAAUAAUCAAUCAUAUUAUUUUUGAGCUCCUGAGAGUGAACCAAUUUCCUGCAGGUUAGUUUUUUU